rnacentral:lncRNA from 1 species
CCCACAAAUUGUUUACACGUUAGCAAAUUAAUUUUUAAAAUUUAAAAUAGUUAAAAAUAUAUAUUUUUGAAAAACUAAUCGGCCGAAAGAGCGAAGAUAAAAACAUAAACAAAAUAGAAAAAUAUUGAAAAUAUUCGAAAAGCAAAGUCUGUGAAUUCAGACCUUGUGUAUAUAAUAAAACAGUUAUUCCACUCACUCUCGUCGAAUAUGAGCGAUAGCCGAUUCGGCGCUACGCGCCUCAUCGGCUAUCAGCUCAUAUUCGACUCG